UAGAUAGGCUGAGUGGACUGGUUAUACUGGGAGUAGAUAAGCUGAGUGGACUGGUUUUACUGGGAGUAGAUAGGCUGAGUGGACUGGUUAUAUUAUGCUCUCAGAAUGUACGAGCAAAGAGUUGAACCUGGAGCAUAUUGAAGAGGACGUGGCGGUGCACAAAACUCAAGGAAUGUAGUUCAUACAGUGUGUCGUCUCUCCUGUCUUCAAGAAUGCUCUCAGUAUGUGCAUCAUAUCCUUUCAUCAGCCUGGUGUGUUUUCCUCUCGGUCUGCCUCUGUCUGGGCUGGAUACAGCUCAGCUUGCGUAUGGGACUUGGGAUGACAUCACAGCUACUCACUUGAGAGUUGUCCCCUCGUUCUCAAAUCAAAACAGGCUGCAAAAACAAGUUCCUACCUGAGACUAUUUUGCAGAGCCAGCGUCACUGCGUUCGGAACUUGGCGCCGCCCAAGACGAUUGUGAUUGGUUUAAAGAAAUGCAAAUAAUCCAGUUUUUUUUCCCCUAUUCUGGAAUGUAUGUGUGGAGGAUUGCAAGACAUGUAAACUGACCAUUGGAGCUCCGCCUUUAAGUUGAAUUUUUUUUGUGUGGUUUAAAAUACGGACAAAAUAUGGAAUAAUGGUUUUAAGUUUCUUUCAUUUUCAGUUCUGUUUUAUAUACACUAUUGGUCAAAAGUUUUAGAACAUCCCAA